rnacentral:rRNA from 1 species
UACGUAGGGUGCAAGCGUUGUCCGGAAUUAUUGGGCGUAAAGAGCUCGUAGGCGGUUUGUUGCGUCGGCUGUGAAAUCCCGAGGCUCAACCUCGGGUCUGCAGUCGAUACGAGCAAACUAGAGUGUUGCAGGGGAGACUGGAAUUCCUGGUGUAGCGGUGAAAUGCGCAGAUAUCAGGAGGAACACCGGUGGCGAAGGCGGGUCUCUGGGCAACAACUGACGCUGAGGAGCGAAAGCGUGGGGAGCGA